GACGAACGCUGGCGGCGUGCCUAGUACAUGCAAGUCGAGCGAAGUUUUUCUGGUGCUUGCACUAGAAAAACUUAGCGGCGAACGGGUGAGUAACACGUAAAGAACCUGCCUCAUAGACUGGGACAACUAUUGGAAACGAUAGCUAAUACCGGAUAACAGCAUUAACUGCAUGGUUGAUGUUUAAAAGUUGGUUUUGCUAACACUAUGAGAUGGCUUUGCGGUGCAUUAGCUAGUUGGUGGGGUAAAGGCCUACCAAGGCGACGAUGCAUAGCCGACCUGAGAGGGUGAUCGGCCACACUGGGACUGAGACACGGCCCAGACUCCUACGGGAGGCAGCAGUAGGGAAUCUUCCGCAAUGGGCGAAAGCCUGACGGAGCAACGCCGCGUGAGUGAAGAAGGAUUUCGGUUCGUAAAGCUCUGUUGUUAGGGAAGAAUGAUUGUGUAGUAACUAUACACAGUAGAGACGGUACCUAACCAGAAAGCCACGGCUAACUACGUGCCAGCAGCCGCGGUAAUACGUAGGUGGCAAGCGUUGUCCGGAAUUAUUGGGCGUAAAGCGCGCGCAGGUGGUUUAAUAAGUCUGAUGUGAAAGCCCACGGCUCAACCGUGGAGGGUCAUUGGAAACUGUUAAACUUGAGUGCAGGAGAGAAAAGUGGAAUUCCUAGUGUAGCGGUGAAAUGCGUAGAGAUUAGGAGGAACACCAGUGGCGAAGGCGGCUUUUUGGCCUGUAACUGACACUGAGGCGCGAAAGCGUGGGGAGCAAACAGG
rnacentral:rRNA from 1 species